GACAGAGGGUGCAAACGUUGUUCGGAAUUAUUGGGUUUAAAGGGUGCGUAGGCGGUCCUGUAAGUCAGUUGUGAAAUACGGCAGCUUAACUGUCGAGGUGCAAUUGAUACUGCGGGACUAGAGUACUGAUGAGGUAAGCGGAAUGGACGGUGUAGCGGUGAAAUGCUUAGAUAUCGUCCAGAACACCGAUAGCGAAGGCAGCUUACUAAGGAGUAACUGACGCUGAGGCACGAAAGUGUGGGGAUCAAACAGG
rnacentral:rRNA from 1 species